CACUGGUCGAGUCGGACUGCGCGGAAGAUGUAACGGGGCUAAACCAUGCACCGAAGCUGCGGCAGCGACACUAUGUGUUGUUGGGUAGGGGAGCGUUCUGUAAGCCUGUGAAGGUGGCCUGUGAGGGUUGCUGGAGGUAUCAGAAGUGCGAAUGCUGACAUAAGUAACGAUAAAGCGGGUGAAAAGCCCGCUCGCCGGAAGACCAAGGGUUCCUGUCCAACGUUAAUCGGGGCAGGGUGAGUCGACCCCUAAGGC
rnacentral:rRNA from 1 species